CAUAUCUCCCCUGAGACCUUUUCAAAGCCGUUGCUUUCACGCGCUCUCAUUCUCUCUUCUUCUCAUUUAUAGAUUAGAGAAGGUUGAAGAACAGAGAGACAGCGAGAGGAAAUGACUUUUGAACUAACUGAAGACUCUUGUUUUCCACCCCUCUUGUUAGGUGUAUACGUGGGUCUUGCUCUUCUUGAUGCCAUUAUUGCAGUCCUUGCAUUUUAUCAGUUAGCAAGGAUUCAAUCAAGAAAUUCGUAUGGUUGGACACGUCAAAAAGUGUUUCAUCUAUUGAUUGGUUCUUCUAAUUUGGGUUGUUUAGCUUAUUUUGUCUUGGCUCUUUUUGCUGCUUGCAAUGGGUGGCUAUGUUGGUCAGGUUCUUGUGGUUUCAUUUUCAUGGCCUUCCCCAAAAUUCUACUUCUGGCUUUGUUUCUUCUUCUUUUGUCAUUCUGGGUUGACCUUUGCCAUCAGCCAGACGACGAAGAUGAAGAGGAUGAAGAGAGGAGUUUUGAGGAAGGCUUGUUGGAGAAGAUCUCUAGUAAACCAAGUACAUCAAAUACAGAUUGGAGCAGGAGAUGGUGGCUUCCAGUUCGGCUGCCACAUGUUGGAAGCCGUCAAAAUUUAGUAAUACUGGUGGUCGGAAUUAUCUUUGUUUUAACAUUGGCAUUUGCUGUGAUACUGUGGCUUGAGAUGGGAAACAAAUCCGUUGAUUCUUUGGUAGUUGUUCAGGUAGUAUAUGUAGAUCUUUUUGCUGUAGUGACACUCUUAUUAGGAGGCGCAUUAGCUUGCUAUGGAUUGCUGUUGUUCUUGAAAAUGAGAAGGGUCAGAUCUGAGAGGGCAUCAUCUGAAAUAUUGAAGGUUGCAGGUUUGGCUGCUGUGUCGGUUGUAUGUUUCACUUCAAGUGCACUUGUAGCUCUUGUAACAAAUAUUCCGGUACCGAAUCAGUGGCAACGACAAUAUCACAUUUAUGGUGCAUAUACUUCUAUUUUGCAGAUUACAUAUUAUUUUAUAGAUUAUUAUGCCAGGAUCAUCAAUUCCUUCGGCAUUUGUUCUCUGGAUCAUGAGAGAAUUACCACCAUGGAUAGCAGCUAGUUCCCAAGAACAAACGAGGACAAUAACCUUCGUUCGUGACGAUUCUGCAGCCAUACAUCGUCCUCGGGAAUGGACUUUGACAACAAAUUCUCCGGUACCAUCAAGGGCUAGUCCCAUAUAAAUGGUGUUGGGAUGCAAGUUUAGUCUUUGCCAGAUUUUAGAAGCGUGCCAGAAUUGUUCGAUUGACAUUGUGAAAGGAAUGUUUUGGUCGUAUUGUAGAUGUUAUUGAAACGGUUGCGAAAUAUGUUCGAUGAGCGGUAUUGAAAAAACCGUAAGGUUGUGCUGGUACCGUGCUGUUCUAUGAUGCUGUAAACAUGUGUAUAUACUUCUCUUGCCUAUUGCUUCAAUCAAAUGUUAAUAGAAUAAGUUGGUAUCUUGAACUAA